CUGAAAAACCCUCCAAAAAUUCCUGAAAACACCUCAAAACACCUCUGAAAACACCUUCAAAAUACCACCCAAAGCAGCGUAGAAACUGCCCCAAAAAUCCCCCCAAAAGACCAUGAGCUCACCUUAGAGCAGCAGAAAUCCCCCAAAACCUGAAGCCCCUCUGAGGGGGCUCCGAUCUCCCCCAGUUUUGGGGUCACUGGGGGCCCCCACCCUCCAUUUAUACCAGACUCGGGGUUCCCCCAUAAAUUUGGGGUCUCCCCCAGAUACCCAAGACCCGGAGCCCCCCUCCCCAAUUCGGGAUUUUCCCCAUCCCCGCUUGUGUCAGACCGAGGGUUCCCUUCCCUUCCCAAACUCUCCAAACUGGGCUCCCCCCUCCCCAAAAAGCCCCGAUUCGGGGUGUCCCUCCGUAACCCUGCGGGCCCAGGGGGUUGUGAGCAGCCCCCUGAGCCCCGCUUUCCCCGUUUCUCCCCGUUUUUUCCCCGAUUCCCAGGUUCCGCUCCAAGUACCACCCGGAUGAGGCCGGGAAGCGGCAGCAGGAGGCCCAGGCCGCCCUCAGGAACCGCCUCGGGGUCUUCCUCUACCUCUGGGAGCACGGCUGGUUCGACAACCUGCUCCUGGACAUCGACCGUGCCCCCCAAAUCAUCAAAACCCUCGACGCAGCGGUGAUUAAGAUGGAAGGGGGUACGGAGCACGACCUGCGGAUCCUGGAGCAGGAGGAGGAGGAGGAGCGGACGGAAAAGGCCGAAGGCCCCAAAAAGGAGGAGCCGCGGCCACCAGAGCCCCCUGGGAAAGGCCCCACAGAGCGCCCCGAUGGCGAUGACAGCACCAAGGCUGAAGGGGCGGAGCCAGGGGCGGAGCCUGCAGCGGGGGCAGGGCCAGAGGAAGAGGAGGAGGGGCCAGACAAGGGGCCCAAGGCUGAGGAUGGUGACAAGGAGGGCGGAGCCAAGGUAAGUGGACACGCCCCCAAAUGACCACACCCCACAAAACUCUGCCCCCACAUUACUGCAGUAACGCUGAUGAGGCCCCGCCCCUUUUCAUUAACCACCCCGACUCAUAACGAGCCACACCCCUUACUAACGAACCACAUCCCUCCCCAAGAGCCCCACCCCAUGGAAAGUACCGCCCCUCUACACAGGCCACACCCCUUUAAAGGCCUCUCCCCUUCAAGCGCCCUGUAGGCUCCUCCCAUCCUCAUUAAAUCACUUUGAGCCCCACCCCUUUCACCCUGGCCACGCCCCCUGACGCCCCCCCCACGCUGUCCCUGCAGGGGCGGCCGCGCCAGCGCAGCCGGGACAGCGAGGACGGGGACAGUGACAGCGGGGACAGCGAGGGGGGGACACGGAGAGCCCCGGGCAAGGACGGUGAGGGGACAGGGAGGGGACACAGAGAGGGGACAGGGGACACAGGGGACAGCGAGGGGGGGACACGGAGAG
rnacentral:lncRNA from 1 species